CCAAGAUAAGAAUUUUCACCUGUCAGGUUGAAGAAUAGGGUCUGGGCAUUGGACAGAGCCAGUCUCCCAUUAUAUUCAAACUCAUUUCUCAAUGGGAUGUAUUCUGCUCUUAUUCCAAUGUAGGGAAGACUAUUUCACUAAGGAGAAAACUAACAAGAGGGGCAGUAGAUUUUUUUAAGACUGAGUUCCCAAUGCUGGGGUGUACAGUAGUCAUUGACGUACCAGUGUAUCCAAUUACAGACUGCAAACAUCCUGCCUUCUCGUUAAUCAGAGGGUGGAUCAGGUGGCUGAUCCACGGAGAAAGGUGUCUGUCAGCGGAUCAGGUGGCUGAUCCACGGAGAAAGGUGUCUGUCAGCGGAUCAGGUGGCUGAUCCACGGAGAAAGGUGUAUGUCAGCGGAUCGGGUGGCUAAUCCACGGAGAAAGGUGUACGUCAGCGAAGCUGACCUGACUUCAUAUGGAGUUCUCAGGAACCAGCCACCAAAUAGAGACAGAGAAAGUGAGGAAAGAGUCUCAAUGCAGCAGAUGAAGGAAACUGAAAUAAAGGCAUUCCAAAUGGAAAAGCAGAGAUUUGAACAGAGCACUCUCUGGUGCCGAAGCCUUGUGUCUCCACCAAGAACGUCUUCGUUGCUUGAAGGCUGUGUUGUGCAUAUUCACCUUUACUUGUUCAAUGCUAGCAUAGCACCUGGUAAUUUCUCAAUGAAUCCUGUGACUUUUACCUUUUAAACGUAUAUCCUUUACUCCCUCUGCUCCUUUUAAACCCCACUUCUGAUGCAUUAGGUUAUUACCUCACAUGGACAGUUGAAAUAAUCUGCAGAGUAAUUUUCCUGCCUCAUAUUGUUACUUUCAAUCUAUCCACUGUAUGAUUCAUUCCCUGUUUCCUUCUUCAGUAGUUCCUCAGAUUACCAUCCAAGCUCCUCAACUGACCGGUGAAGCUACUUACUGUUCCCUGAACAGCCAAUGCAAAUUCUAUGCUAAUACUUCUCCAUGACAAUAUCACUUUCUCUCUGUGCUGAAAUGACCUUGUAUACACGAAAAAAUACCUGACUUAUCUUUUGAGACUCACUUCAAGGUUUCCUCUUUGGCAUUGUUUUGAAUCUACCCAGAGUGGGCAGCUCUGCUCUUUUUUCUAGUGUUGGGUCUUGUGUAAACACUGUUAGAGCGGAUGUUACAGUGUGUCAUAAAGAUCUGGACUUAUGUCUCUUUUCUUUACUAGGCUGCAAGUUCCUGGAGGCAGGGAAAUCUUACUUGGCAUUGUAUCCUUAGAACACAUGCACUUGAGCUCAGUAAAUGUUAUUAAGUGAAUCAUUUGUUGAACAAAUGAAUGGGUAAUCUAUUCUUGAGCAACACGAUACUCACAAGUGCCAAAAAGACACUGUUCUCUUAUUAGAGGUUAUAAUCUGUGACAAAGAAGCUUUAGACUGUGCAUGAAUUCACAGAACCAGUCUCUUGGCAUGGUGAGGAUAGCAGUGUGACACCAAGUGUUUUGGGAAAUUUUGAGCAGGGUGACAUACUAGCCUCUAAUACCACCUAGAAAUGCAUGCAGUUUACAACCACAUUGUCUAAAAUCAGCAUCAAAACCCCAAGCAUGAAUAUUGCUCAGUGGAAUGGUAUAGUUAGGUCAAAAAUAAACAAAGUUCACAAGGAAAAAAAAAUCUAAAAAUAAUGGCCUGAAAAGUGAUAACUCUUCUCUCUAAGAUGUAAUGUUUUCUGAAGGAAUUUUGCUUACCUGAGUAAUCUUAUAAUUAGCUCAUCAAAAUUAGGGAUAACAUUAGGGCCCCUCAACUCUAGCAUCCCACCUAAGGCAGGACUUCCGGAGAGAUGCCAAUCCAGAUUCUACCUGAACACUUCCAGAAAAGGCAGUCUCAUCGCUGGAGAGGGAAGCAUCUCCUUAUUUUGGAGGCAGCUCAUUUAAUUUUGGAUUAUUCAGGCUUAGAUGAAAUCUGCCUUCAAUCCAUUGACCCUGGUUGUUUUUCCAGAGCUACACAGAACACACCAACUUGUUUUUCCAUACAAAACUUUUCAUGUAUUUGAAGACAGCUAUCAUUUCUGCCAAAAGCUUCUUUUCCAUUAGAUUAGAAACACUUCAUUUCAUGCAAUAAUUUCUUAUGUGAUACUCCUUUAAAGCCUUCGGCUCUCUCUGGCCAUAUUCCAAAGGACAUACUUCAGUAUGAUAACCAAACGUGGAUGCAAUACUGCAAGUGUACCUAAGCAUUGCAGACAUGUCUCAUCUUAUG
ensembl:lncRNA